CCGCGCUAACCGGGGAGUCAGCGGUGCCCUGUACCUGCAAUCCGCUACAGCAGGGGCGAAUUCCGGCCCCCGGUCUCGCGAUGUGUCGUCAGUUGGCGCGUAAGCGGCGUUGACGGACCGGUCUCGCGCAACGAAAGCCCGUGAACCAUGUCAGGCGGGAGACCGAGCAGCAUUAAGCGGUAUCUUUCGUGUGCCGCGAGGGAGCCGAUCCCGAGCAGGCUGCGC
rnacentral:SRP_RNA from 1 species